GCGGCCGUAGCCAAAGGGUUAAGGCACCGGAUUGUGGUCCCGGUAUGUGUGAGUUCAAUUCUCAUCGGCCGCCCCA
rnacentral:tRNA from 1 species